GACGAGCCACACAAACGUUAUUCGGAAUUACUGGCUUAAAGGGUGCGUAGGCGGCGCGGAAAGUUGGGUGUGAAAGCCCUCGGCUCAACCGAGGAAUUGCGCCCAAAACUUCCGUGCUUGAGGAAGAUAGAGGUGAGCGGAACUCAGGGUGGAGCGGUGAAAUGCGUUGAUAUCCUGAGGAACACCGGUGGCGAAAGCGGCUCACUGGAUCUUUCUGACGCUGAGGCACGAAAGCUAGGGUAGCGAACGGG
rnacentral:rRNA from 1 species